rnacentral:lncRNA from 1 species
CCCAUUGCUGGCACAUAGACCUCCAUACACACACAUGCACGAAGAAUAGAAGGUCUCCUCAGGCAGGAAAACAGUCAGAAAUGGAGUUUAAUGAGAAGACGGGAGUGGGGCCAGGGUGCUCCUUUCUCCUGGGAGGUGAUUCGCUUACCCCUGCUGCCACUGUCCCCCUCUGCUCCUUUGGGCACGUGGAGAGGAUAGCCUUUUAUCACAGAACCAACAAACAGUAGUCACUGGGACUUCUUCUGGAGACCUUUGCCCACGCCUGGCUGCCAAGGGCUCUAACGUUCUGGCUGCCGUGUCUGUGGGUGUCACGGUUUCGACAGCGACAGGUUCUUCAAGGGCAGCAGCUGGUGCUGGCACGGACACUUUUGGUGCCUCCGAGCUUUCAGCUCCAGGGAAGGCUGAGCCAGGGCCUUCCUCUGGCACAGGUAAAACCCCUUGCUGCACAGCAGGUGAGUGACGUUCAUCACCGCUCACAGCUUCCAGUGUGCCAGAGUCACCUACGCCUUGGGCUCUUUCCACCAGUCGCUCCCCUUUGGUUUCUUCCCUCAGCACGCCCUCACAGUUUGAGGUUUCUACAAGUUCUUGUGCUGCUUCCACCGGCUCUUCUGCAGCUACGCUGCUUUGUGUUUCGCAUUUCUUUGGGCUGCUGCCAGGGAGGACGCUGCUCCCAUUGUCCGUGGUAUCCAUGCCGGUGGAUGCUAAGGCAGAUAGGUUUUCUCCUUCAAGCUGCGUGGGGGCUGCAGUGACAGGGCCUGGGGAGUCCAUGCUGAGGAUGGCGUCGUCCAUUUUGUUCUCCUCAGUGUUUUCACUCUGGGAGAGGGCUGCAGUUUUGAGUAUGGCAUCUUGUAGUGGGCCGCCUUCCGUCUCAUCACUCUGGGAGAGGGCUGCAGUUUUGAGUAUGGCAUCUUGUAGUGGGCCGCCUUCCGUCUCAUCACUCUGGGAGAGCACUUCUCUGGUGGUUCUUUCUUGGCAUUUGGGCUCCAAGAUGGGCCCAGAGGCUUCUGCAGGGAUCUGCACACAAGCCCCCUCGCUCACACUCUGCCCAGACGCUGCAGCUGCUUCUGAGCCAGUUGCUUCUGGAGUGAAGGCAGAGACUUGUAUCCCCUUCUGCACGGGGAGCUCGGCAGCGGGGACUUUGGUGCUUUUUAGGGCAGGGAGCCCAGACUCGCCUUCCUCUCCCUGGGGAGGUGCCUCGCCAGGAACUCCRUCAGCCCAAGCCUGGCCUGCUGAGUCCAAGGCAGGAGUUGCUGCUUCUCCCUCUGGCGUGCCAGGGACCGCAACGACAACUGCUUCUGUGUGCUCCGGUCCCUCGGAGGGGGUGUCAUGCUCACCUUCAAGCUGCACAGGCACUUCAGUUGCAGUGCCUGCAGUGCCUGCAGGCCCCAAGGCAGAGGUGUCGCCUGCAUCCAUGUUUUGCACCUGAGGAGAAUGGGAACAGAAAUGUGAAGAAAGGUAUGAGCGGAGAGUGAUUGGGAAUAUUCUGCAUGCAAAAGCACCAGAAGAAAUGACCUGGAAGGUGAGGGUUAUAAGAAUGGCAUGUGUUGGUGACACUGAGAUUAGCAG